CACGCAUCGAAGUUUUUGCUAGGGUUUUAGCUGCUUUCCCUGAGAUUGUAAAGGAACUGGGUUGGUCGGAGAAACAGAAAGUUCAGUCAUGGCUAGCACUAAAGUUUAAAGGAUUAUGACCCAUCCCAUUGAAAUUUCCCUGAGAGAAACAGCAAGUUCAGCCAUGGAUAGCACUAAAGUUCAAAGGAUUAUGACCCAGCCCAUUGUAAUUUCCCUGAGAUUGUAAAGGAACUGGGUUGGUCGGAGAAACAGCAAGUUCAGCCAUGGCUAGCACUAAAAUUCAAAGGAUUAUGACCCAGCCCAUUGUAAUUUCCCUGAGAGAAACAGCAAGUUCAGCCAUGGCUAGCACUAAAGUUCAAAGGAUUAUGACCCAGCCCAUUGUAAUUUCCCUGAGAUUGUAAAGGAACUGGGUUGGUAAGCGAAACAGCAAGUUCAGCCAUGGCUAGCACUAAAGUUCAAAGGAUUAUGACCCAGCCCAUUCUAAGUCCUCUUGGUAAAUAUCUCAACAUUCAACCAAGUGUGCCAUUUAGCCUUCUUGUAACAUGGGUGCCAACUGAUAAUAUUAUACCAAUUUUAGAAAAUAUAUACAUAAAAUAUCUAGUUUUACGGAGGGACCGCGGGUUCACAUGCCCCAUAAUUUACCGUAUAAAUUCGCCAUUGCUUUCAAUAAUGUACCCAAAGGUUCUAGUUAUUGGAAUGCGUAAUAAUUUCCUUUAAGGAAUUAUCUAGGUUGUGCUUCUAGAUUCUAUCUUAAUGUGAGAUAGGUGCCACAAAUUUGUGAAAUUUGCAACACAGAGUCUCUGUCUGUCAUGACUUCCUUUUAGGAGGAGGUAUAGGACCAUUCACUUCCAACCUUGAGGUUUGGGGUUUGAGUCACUUUAGAGUCAAAGAGGGAAACACUAGUUUUGAUUCUUUGUCUUGUGGGGUUUACCGUAUAAGUAAUGAGAUGCAUUUCCUUACUCUGCUAGGGACGAAUGCUGUUUAGUCAUCACUUUCUUCUUUCUUGGACUUCUAAUUUCUUAUUGAUUCCAUGUUUGCAUUUUCUGCUAAAAUUUAAGACUAUUAUAACCAAUGACUAGUUUAAAAUACCGGUUAACUAUCUUUAUCAAAUAUUUUCUUAAGAUAUAAGAUAGGUUUGAUCUUUAGUAAAGCCUUCAAGAGUUUAUACAUGUUUUUUUAGUGAACUAGGUUCAGUGUAGUAGAUCGUGGAAGGAUUGAGUUUCUGUAAUGGAGUUCUCAAUUAAAAAAAAAUGAAGUAUUUGGUUAUAAAUUUGGAUUAAAUUUUCCAACAAAAUUGAAGGCAGUAAAAAGAGAAAAAACUAAGAGAAAUAAGGGGGGGAAAACGAUUUCCAUGUCAAGUUCUGUGAUUGGGUUGUAAGCGAUCCAACUUAUCGAAGCUUAGAAAUUUAGCAAGUUCAAAUACAUUCGUUCACCAAAUCUUUAUUCACAAGUCAUACUGCCUUCAUUUUUACUUAUGGAUUCAAUUCAAAUAGUAUCCAAAACAUAUUGUAUGUAAUUUUUGGCACAACUUUGUGCUUCAUUUAUGCAACCUUCUCAAAAGAUUAGUAAGUCUAUUUUUUUUACUGUCGUACUUGCUGACUUAUCCUUAUUAUCAUUUCUCCCUGAUGUGUAAUCAUAAGACCUCUAGGAUUUGGCUAGUGAAAUCUGAAGCCAAUCACUUUUUGUUUUGUUAGUUGGUGUGUCAUGGUGGAUCAUUUUAAAAAUUUGCUCUCCGUUUUAAUUUAUGUGGCAGUGUUAGUGUUAUGAUAUUGUUGCAAGGAUUGGGGCUUGAAUCCCGCACCGGUUAAAUGGGGACUGAUGUGCGGCUUAUAUAGCCUUGCCCUCUCCUACCUAUUGUAUCAAUGGAUUCAGAGUCACUCAUCGCCCUCCGUGCCCAUCGUGCCUGUAUGGCAAUGUUUGGCCGGUGCUAUCAAUGUCUAGACCACAGCCGUUGAGGACGACGGGUGCGGAGCAUGGUGGUUUAUUAUGAUGUUGUUGCAAGGAACUUUAUAGACCUAGCUAGAUAUUUGCUCUUUUUUAAACAAUUCAUAGUUGCCUUGUUAAGAAAAAUAUGUAGUUGGAAUUUCUUAAGGGACUUGAAAUGUUUAGACUUGGGGAAACGGCGAGAUCAUUAGUUGCCCGCUAUUAUAUGCUUGAAAAUGUUUUGUGAGAUAAGUAGUUGAUGUUUUUUGGUGUUAUCAGUUAUGUACCUGUAUUGGUCAGACUUGGGGAAGCAGCUGGAUCAUUAGUUGUCCCCUAUUGUAUGCUUGAAAAUGUUUUGUGAGAUAAGUUGAUGUGUUUGGUGUUAUCAGUUGCGUACCUGUAUUGGUCAAUUCUUAAGAAGCACCUCUUUUCUAUUUCUAGUCAUUGUGCGUGGUAGUUUUGGAUGAAGGUUGUUUGCAAAUGAUUGGCACUUAUAAACAAGCAAAUGCAUUCAGAUGGUUGCACUUGAAUUUGUGUUUGCAUCUUUUUUUUUUGGGGAUAAAUCAAAAUUGAAUGUUGGUUUCGCCUCUUGCAUCACCUGCAUUGUAUCCUUUUGGCUUGAAAAGUCAUCAAGAUAGGUACCUAACUCAUUUGCAUGUUGUAUCUAGAUCCAUCCAUGCUACUGUGCUAAAUAGUUUAAUGGUGAUUGUCUGGUACUUGUGUCCCAAUAGGUAAAUCUUUUUAUGUUGUUUAGGGUUUUGAUGAGUACAUGAAUUUAGUUCUGGAUGAUGCUGAGGAAGUUAAUGUGAAGAAGAAAACCAGAAAGCAGCACUUAUAAACAAGCAAAUGCAUUCAGAUGGUUGCACUUGAAUUUGUGUUUGCAUCUUUUUUCUUUGGGGAUAAAUCAAAAUUGAAUGUUGAUUUCGCCUCUUGCAUCACCUGCAUUGUAUCCUUUUGGCUUGAAAAGUCAUCAAGAUAGGUACCUAACUCAUUUGCAUGUUGUAUUUAGAUCCAUCCAUGCUACUGUGCUAAAUAGUUUAAUGGUGAUUGUCUGGUACUUGUGUCCCAAUAGGUAAAUCUUUUUAUGUUGUUUAGGGUUUUGAUGAGUACAUGAAUUUAGUUCUGGAUGAUGCUGAGGAAGUUAAUGUGAAGAAGAAAACCAGAAAGCAGUUGGGUGGGUGACAAUUGUGUUGACUCUAGCUUUACACCCCCUCUCCUAUUACCAGGGGAACUAACUUUCAUCACCUUUGUGGUUUUAUGCAGGGCGGAUUCUCCUGAAAGGCGAUAAUAUUACUCUGAUGAUGAACACGUAUGUCGUUGUUAUUCUAUUUUUCUGAUGCACUUGUAUCACUGUUUCUGAACAAAUAUAGUGAUUAUAUUUAUGUUACUAUGAUCACUUUUCUUUCCGACUCUCCCUCACCUCCACCUGGGGGUGGGGUAAGGAGUCUUUCUUGCUGAUUUACUCAUUUCAUUUUCGUUUCUUAUGUAGGGGGAAAUAAUUUAUCGUCUGUUGGAGUACGAAAGCUGGUGGCAUCUUGUAUGUGUUCACCAGAUGCAAAUUGAAACCAUGUGACCUCGUGAAUAACAGAAUUGCAUGGCCCCGACUUUCAUUUAGAAUGUGUAUGUAGCUGUAGGUAAUAUUUGACAUGGUUUCGUUGAAACAAGUGCUUUGAUUGUUGUAUGAAGUCUAUUCAUGAAACGUAGGAUCUGGGCUCCUCGUCGCCCUCUCUAUUUCUGCGUUGGUUGAUUGCUCGACUAUUCUUGUCAGCGUACGUUUAGAUUGAAGCUAUUGUUCAUAAAACUCCACUGUCUCUGAUAUCCAGCCUCCCGCACCUCCUCACUAGAGUGUCUGUGCAUCUCCUUUUUACAUUCUCAGAUCAUCUCAAUCCCGCUUCCCUCAUCUUAUUCACUACAGAAGCCAUUCUCACAUUAUCCUGAUUAUUCGUGCAACUGGUAUUAUGUCAUCAUUUCUUGUACUCCUAUGUUACAAUUAAUUGUUAUUGGCAGAUUUGGGGAUGACCUACUCAGUGGUAUUCGGUGAAGUGAAUCAAAUCUGUCUUUUCCUUUAAUCCCCAGCCUAUCCCAAUUUUUUGUUUGAAAUCACUUUGUAAGGAAAUGU
rnacentral:lncRNA from 1 species